CCUACGGGAGGCAGCAGUGGGGAAUAUUGGACAAUGGGGGGAACCCUGAUCCAGCCAUGCCGCGUGUGUGAAGAAGGCCCUCGGGUUGUAAAGCACUUUCAGUGAGGAAGAACGCCUGGUGGUUAAUACCCAUCAGGAAAGACAUCACUCACAGAAGAAGCACCGGCUAACUCCGUGCCAGCAGCCGCGGUAAUACGGAGGGUGCGAGCGUUAAUCGGAAUUACUGGGCGUAAAGCGCGCGUAGGUGGCUUGAUAAGCCGGUUGUGAAAGCCCCGGGCUCAACCUGGGAACGGCAUCCGGAACUGUCAAGCUAGAGUGCAGGAGAGGAAGGUAGAAUUCCCGGUGUAGCGGUGAAAUGCGUAGAGAUCGGGAGGAAUACCAGUGGCGAAGGCGGCCUUCUGGACUGACACUGACACUGAGGUGCGAAAGCGUGGGUAUCAAACAGGAUUAGAUACCCUUGUAGUC
rnacentral:rRNA from 1 species